CCUUCUGCCUUUAGAGGCACCGAUCACGGAAAACAUAUUUGAAGGUUGAGUAAGGCUCUGGCUGCCUCCUGGAACUGUUUGUACUGGGAUAAAAAUCGCCCUUCUGUGCUCAGGAGGUUCCUGGGAUCUGGUGCUGACGACAUGGAACAGCAGACACGGAGCUCGUGCUUCCCAAAGCUUGUCCUGUGCCGUGGCUGUUGGGCUGAUCCUCAGGAUAAUCUUCCCUGGCAUAAAUUUGGAAGAUGUGAUAAGGUGCCAGAGGAGCAGUGGGAUCAGGACAGCCUGGCAGAGAAGGGUGGAGACCUCUCUUGCAGCAGCCACCCUUUUGGGAGACCCCUUCAUGUGAGACAUCAUUUAACAGUCACAACUCCUCACACUUCCCAUCUCCAGGGCUGGAAUGUAGGACGAGGAGGCUAAAACAGGCUGAAGCUCUCGGAUCUCACCCCUGCAGCCUUCCAGGCCAAGUUCCAGGUCUU